AUUGAACGCUGGCGGCAUGCCUUACACAUGCAAGUCGAACGGCAGCACGGGAGCAAUCCUGGUGGCGAGUGGCGAACGGGUGAGUAAUAUAUCGGAACGUGCCCAGUCGGGGGGGAUAACGUAGCGAAAGCUACGCUAAUACCGCAUACGAUCUAUGGAUGAAAGCGGGGGAUCGCAAGAACUCGCGCGAUUGGAGCGGCCGAUAUCAGAUAAGGUCGUGGGUGAGGUAAAGGCUCACCAAGCCGACGAUCUGUAGCUGGUCUGAGAGGACGACCCGCCACACUGGGACUGAGGCACGGCCCAGACUCCUACGGGAGGCAGCAGUGGGGAAUUUUGGACAAUGGGCGCAAGCCUGAUCCAGCAAUGCCGCGUGCAGGAUGAAGGCCUUCGGGUUGUAAACUGCUUUUGUACGGAACGAAACGGCGAGCUCUAAUACAGUUUGCUAAUGACGGUACCGUAAGAAUAAGCACCGGCUAACUACGUGCCAGCAGCCGCGGUAA
rnacentral:rRNA from 1 species